rnacentral:rRNA from 1 species
UACGUAGGCAGCGAGCGUUGUUCGGAAUUACUGGGCGUAAAGAGUGUGUAGGCGGUGCUCUAAGUUCGGUGUGAAAUCUCCUGCUUAACUGGGAGGGUGCGCCGAAAACUGGAGUGCUCGAGCGUGGGAGAGGAAAGCGGAAUUCCUGGUGUAGCGGUGAAAUGCGUAGAUAUCAGGAGGAACACCUGCGGUGUAGACGGCUUUCUGGACCAUUGCUGACGCUGAGACACGAAAGCGUGGGUAGCAAACAGG